rnacentral:lncRNA from 1 species
GAAGAGAGAAAAGAAGGAGAAAAUAACUUGACAUAUUCAUCUUGUCUUGAUAAAAUUAUUGCAUUGGCAAUAGUGUUGAAAGUCCCACGUCAAUUAGAGAUAAGGCUAAUUUAUAAUAUAUAAGUGAGGUGCAAUCCUCACUUUACAAGCCGGUUUUGUGAGUUUGAGUUAGGCUUAAAACCCACUUCUAACAUGGUAUCAGAAUCAUGGUUAAAGCCUAUCCUAGCGAGUUGUAAGUGGACAUUUCUGUUUCUAUUCCACUCGUUGUCGAGCCAAUAUUGGACCACCCAAUUUCUGCUAUCACGCACGAGAUGUCUAUACCUCGACGUGAAGGGGGUGUGUUGGAAGUCCC